GACAACCCUUUCACUGAGGUAAUUUUUCCUAAUAUCCAGUUUUACAUUCCCCAGCAGAGCUUGUCGCCAUUUUCUCUUGUCUCCUGAUAUGUAUCAUUCCAGUAUCUAGUGUUUACUUGGAAGUUGAGGAAAAUUUUUACCCAGAGUUCUCUGUUAGAUUUCAGGUUUUAUUGCUGAGCUCACAUUUGCUCAAUAUAAACUCUAAAAUAUGUCUGUGUCCAGUUAUCCAGAGGUGAAACUUGAUAGGUACCAAGCAGGAGUUAAUACCUUCAUAGGUUUGCAUAUGACUAUAGAGUGAACCUGACUGUAGUGACUAUUGAAAUGUGUAAUAGUCAUGCAGUAAGGGCAUAUGAGUAUAUAAAUCUGUAUGGCUAAGAACAGGAUAAGAGUAGGUUGGAUAAGAAGUGGCUGUUAACUCAUCUCUUAAAUAGUAUAUGCAGGUAUGUGAUUAUUUUUUACCUAAUAUAUUUCUUCUCUUUCUCUGUACAGUCUUAGUAAACAGCUGGCAGAAUAUGCAGACUGGGAAAACACAGGAGAAGCUUCUACAGGUGAUAGCGCACGAGGCAUCACAGCACUUGGCACUCCACACUGGGCAGCAGCUGCUGGCUUUACAUUGGGUGCACCUGCUGUGGACAGAGGAGGUAAGACCCUUCACCNAUUUUUUACCUAAUAUAUUUCUUCUCUUUCUCUGUACAGUCUUAGUAAACAGCUGGCAGAAUAUGCAGACUGGGAAAACACAGGAGAAGCUUCUACAGGUGAUAGCGCACGAGGCAUCACAGCACUUGGCACUCCACACUGGGCAGCAGCUGCUGGCUUUACAUUGGGUGCACCUGCUGUGGACAGAGGAGAAGGUGCAGUAGUCAAACCUGACACUGUUAAUGAGUGCUUCACAGCAGUUCAGGAAAAACAAUGAUGAUGGUGGUUCUAGAAUUGAAAGUCCUAAGUCGCCAAAGAAAAGUCUCAAACAAAGAAUCCCAUCAGGUGCAAAUGUAAACAAAGGAGGCAGUGAGGAAUUUUUUAAUCAAGAUGUCUCAGCUGCAAGCAACCUGGAUGAAGAAGAAUUGGAGGAGGAAGAGGAGGAGGAGGAAGAGGAUGAAAAUGUCAAUGGAGAUGGUGAUGAAGACUAGGAGGAGGAGGAGGAGGAGGAGGAGGAGG
rnacentral:lncRNA from 1 species